CAUCCUCCAAGGCUAAAUACUCCUGACUGACCGAUAGUGAACCAGUACCGUGAGGGAAAGGCGAAAAGAACCCCGGCGAGGGGAGUGAAAAAGAACCUGAAACCGUGUACGUACAAGCAGUGGGAGCACCCUUUGGGGUGUGACUGCGUACCUUUUGUAUAAUGGGUCAGCGACUUAUAUUCUGUAGCAAGGUUAACCGAAUAGGGGAGCCGGAGGGAAACCGAGUCUUAAUUGGGCGUUAAGUUGCAGGGUAUAGACCCGAAACCCGGUGAUCUAGCCAUGGGCAGGUUGAAGGUUGGGUAACACUAACUGGAGGACCGAACCGACUAAUGUUGAAAAAUUAGCGGAUGACCUGUGGCUGGGGGUGAAAGGCCAAUCAAACCGGGAGAUAGCUGGUUCUCCCCGAAAGCUAUUUAGGUAGCGCCUCGUGAAUUCAUCUCCGGGGGUAGAGCACUGUUUCGGCUAGGGGGCCAUCCCGGCU
rnacentral:rRNA from 1 species